GACGGAGGGUGCAAGCGUUGUUCGGAAUUACUGGGCGUAAAGGGCGCGUAGGCGGUCUGUUAAGUUCGGUGUGAAAGCCCCCGGCUUACCCGGGGAACUGCGCCGGAAACCGACAGACUCGAGUACCGGAGAGGAGGGUGGAAUUCCUGGUGUAGCGGUGAAAUGCGUAGAUAUCAGGAGGAACACCGGUGGCGAAGGCGGUUCUCUGGGCCUGACCUGACGCUGAGGAGCGAAAGCGUGGGGAGCGAACAGG
rnacentral:rRNA from 1 species